rnacentral:rRNA from 1 species
CAGUCGCCGCGGUAAUACGUAGGGUGCGAGCGUUAAUCGGAAUUACUGGGCGUAAAGCGUGCGCAGGCGGUUGUGUAAGACAGGUGUGAAAUCCCCGGGCUUAACCUGGGAACUGCGCUUGUGACUGCACAGCUAGAGUAUGGCAGAGGGGGGUGGAAUUCCACGUGUAGCAGUGAAAUGCGUAGAGAUGUGGAGGAACACCGAUGGCGAAGGCAGCCCCCUGGGCCAAUACUGACGCUCAUGCACGAAAGCGUGGGGAGCAAACAGGAUUAGAGACCCGGGUAGUCCCUGUCUCUUAUAC